rnacentral:tRNA from 1 species
UCCAAGCCGGCCGUUAGCCUGACUUUGAAUCAGGACAAGCGACGUAGGUUCGAUUCCUACCCGGGGAG